rnacentral:rRNA from 1 species
GAUGAACGCUGGCGGCGUGCUUAACACAUGCAAGUCGAACGAGAAGUGAAGACGGAAACCUUCGGGCGGAAGGCUUUAUUUCGAGUGGCGGACGGGUGAGUAACGCGUGGGUAACCUGCCUCAUACAGGGGGAUAACAGUUGGAAACGACUGUUAAUACCGCAUAAAACCACAGCACCGCAUGGUGCGGGGGUAAAAACUCCGGUGGUAUGAGAUGGACCCGCGUUCGAUUAGCCAGUUGGCGGGGUAACGGCCCACCAAAGCGACGAUCGAUAGCCGAUCUGAGAGGAUGACCGGCCACAUUGGGACUGAGACACGGCCCAAACUCCUACGGGAGGCAGCAGUGGGGAAUAUUGCACAAUGGGGGAAACCCUGAUGCAGCGACGCCGCGUGAGUGAAGAAGUAUUUCGGUAUGUAAAGCUCUAUCAGCAGGGAAGAAAAUGACGGUACCUGAGUAAGAAGCCCCGGCUAACUACGUG